CUACGGGUUGCUGCAGCAGGGAAUAUUGGACAAUGGGCGGAAGCCUGAUCCAGCCAUGCCGCGUGAAGGAUGAAGGCGCUCAGCGUUGUAAACUUCUUUUGGAUGGGGACAAUAACUUCCAUUUAUGGGAGCUUGAGGGUACCAUCAGAAUAAGCACCGGCUAACUCCGUGCCAGCAGCCGCGGUAAUACGGAGGGUGCAAGCGUUAUCCGGAAUCACUGGGUUUAAAGGGUGCGUAGGCUGUUAGAUAAGUCAGUUGUGAAAUUCCCCGGCUUAACCGGGUGGACUGCGAUUGAUACUGUUUAACUUGAAUGAGGUUGAGGUAGGCGGAAUGUGGCAUGUAGCGGUGAAAUGCUUAGAUAUGCCAUAGAACACCGAUUGCGAAGGCAGCUUGCUGGGCCUUCAUUGACGCUGAGGCACGAAAGCGUGGGGAGCAAACAGGAUUAGAUACCCGUGUAGUC
rnacentral:rRNA from 1 species